CUGCAGUCAUGUUAUGUUUUCGAUGUCGUGUGGCAAACCAAAGAUAUAAAUCUGGUGAGAGCAGGCAGUGUCAGCCAGAUUGGUCAAGCGAGCCUUGGACCCGUUCUCCUGACUUGGUUCUUCAUGAUCUUCAUAAGGAUGCAAACGUUGACUCUUUUGAGUUUCCUGCUGUGCACCAGCCAGGUGGUAUCUGUUUACCUGUCUAGGACACUGAAACAGAAUGCCGAGGAGUCUCCCUCCCCAACCAAGGACAGCAACUCCACUUCCACUAGUUUCUCUAUGGAGUCUCCCUCCCCAACCAAGGACAGCAACUCCACUUCCACUAGUUUCUCUAUGGAGUCUCCCUCCCCAACCAAGGACAGCAACUCCACUUCCACCAGUUUCUCUAUGGAGUCUCCCUCCCCAACCAAGGAGAGUGACUGUAAUUCCAAAAGUUUCUUGUUACUCCUGACUAAGUGUAUCAAGUUCCCCAGAGUGACCGGUGUGCUGAGAGACAUAGGGAAUCGUUCUUCUUCACCAUGGGAAUAUGCGUAAGUUCUUCUUCCAUUUAUGUUUCACAUCGCUUUGUAAUGGGCGCAUGAAGGUGCAGCACUUGAGCCGUUCAGGCGUAGGUUUGAAUCCGGUUCGGUCCGGGUGGAGUUAGCAUGUUCUCUCUGUGUCUGCAUGGGUUUCUUCCCACACUCCAAAGACAUGCAGUUCAGGUGGAUUGGUGAUGCCAAAAUUGCACUUGUGUGUGUGUGUGUGUGUGUGUGUGUGUGUGUGAUUGAAACUUUUGCCCAAGCUGGAUUAAAAUGAUAGAAACACUACACUGUUACUUACAACAUUUACAUUUAUUAUUGCUAUAUAUUACAAGUAUCUACACCUCCACGCAACAGAGCAUUGUAACGCACAAACUCAUACACUAUGGGCAAUUUAGAGUCGCACGAAAUGUCUAACUAAACGCAGCUGUCCCUUUUAUGUUUUGUAGGAGGUACAGCAAUGAGGACAUGGUCAAUGGAUGGUUCAUAGAGCAAGCCCAGUGCAAGACAAAACAUUGCAAUAGCCAAUACAAUUCCGUCCCCUUAAACUACGAGUUCCCCGUUGUCUUCCGCCGACAGGAUCGCAUGGAACUGGUGAUGAUCACUCUCACCGCAGGCUGCACUUGUGUACGCAGGAAAGAGCAGCACUGAACAUCUGCACGCACUAAAUACAUCAGCUCACCCACAAAAAAAGAAGAAUAAUUCUCCAUUACUGCCCUCUCAGACUGACCACAAAGCAGUUCCAUUUCAAAGAGCAUUUCACAUAUCAUCGAACACCUUCAUAGAUACCCAUUUAUUCAUUUAGCUGAUGCUUUUCUCCAAAGCACCUUACCAUGUUAAAGUACUUAAUGAUUAUAUACCCAUUUGUACAGCUGAGUACUUUUAGUGGAGCAAUUUUAGAGUAAAUACCUCACUCAAGGGUACUACAACGGGAGCUGAGAAUCAAACCAAUGACUUUUGGGUUCAACGGUAGUAGCUCUUACCGCUAUGUUCCUAGGUGUCCCUGUUUGUACAUA
rnacentral:lncRNA from 1 species